AGCAGCCGCGUAAUUCCAGCUCCAAUAGCGUAUAUUAAAGUUGCUGCAGUUAAAAAGCUCGUAGUUGAAUUUCGGGACCAUCAUGUCGGUCGUGCCUCGGUACGUACUGGCAUUGUUGGUUUCUCCCUUCUGACGAACCAUGAUGUCAUUUAUUUGGUGUUGUGGGGAAUCAGGACUGUUACUUUGAAAAAUUAGAGUGUUUAAAGCAGGCUCACGCUUGAAUACAUUAGCAUGGAAUAAUGAAAUAGGACGUUUGAUUCUAUUUUGUUGGUUUCUAGGAUCGACGUAAUGAUUAAUAGGGAUAGUUGGGGGCAUUAGUAUUCAAUUGUCAGAGGUGAAAUUCUUGGAUUUAUUGAAGACUAACUACUGCGAAAGCAUUUGCCAAGGAUGUUUUCAUUAAUCAAGAACGAAAGUUAGGGGAUCGAAGACGAUCAGAUACCGUCGUAGUCU
rnacentral:rRNA from 1 species